CUUGUCCGGCAGGUGGUUCAGGCCUGUCUGGCAGCUGGUCCAGUGUGUCCAGCACAUUGUUCCAUCAUAUGCAGCAGGUUGUUCCAGCAUCUCCAGCAUGUGGUUGGGGCAUGUCUGGAAGGUGGAUCUGUGGUCCAGCAGGCGGUUCCAGCAUUUCCAGUGGAUGGUUCUGGUAUGUCCGGCAUGUAGUUCCGGCAUGUCCAGUAGGUUUUUCAGGCAUGUCCGUCAGGUGGUCCAGGUGCAUCCAGCAUGCGGUCCAUGCAUGGUCGCCCCAUGGUCCAUUCAUUUCUGAAAUGUGGUUCUGACAUGUCCGGAAAGUGAUUUGGGUGUGUCUGGCAGGUUGUUGUGGCAUGUCCAGCAGGUGCUUCGGACGUGUCAGGCAAGUGGUCUGGGUGUGUGUGGCAGGUGGUUCCAGCAUGUCUGGCAGGUGAUUCCAGCAUGUCUGGCACAUGGUUCCAGAGUAUCCAGCAGGUGAUUUUGGCACAUACGGCAUGUUGUUCCAGCAUGUCCGGCACCUGCUACUGCCGUAUCUGGCAGGUGGUUUCAGUGUAUCUGGCACCUGGUUCUGGCAUGAGUAACAUGUGGUUCUGGCAUGCCUGGCAGGUGGUUCGGGUGUGUCCGGCGGGUUGUUCAGACGUGUCUGCCAGGUGGUUCAGGCUUGUCCGGUAGGUGGCUCAGGCUUGUCAGGCAGGUGGUUCAGGCGUGUCUGGUACCUGGAUUCUGCGUGUGGAACACCUGUUUCUGGCGUAUUCGUCAGGUGGCUCCAGAGUGUCCGGCAGGUGGUUCAGGCGUGUCUGGCACCUGGUUUUGGCAUGUGCGGCACCUGUUUCUGGUGUAUCUGGCAGGUGGUUCCAACGUGUCCAGCAGACGGUUCAUGCAAGUCUGGUAGGUGGUUCAGGUGUAUCCAGCAGGUGGUUCUGGCGUGUCUGGCACCUGGUUCCAGUGUGCCUGUCAUGUGAUUCCAGAAUGUCCGUAAAGUGGUUCAGGCUGGUCCAGCAGGUGGUUCAGACUUAUCUGGCAGCUGCUUCAUGCGUGUCUGGCACCUGGUUCCAGUCUGUGCUGGACCUGUUUCUGGUGUAUCUAGUAGAAGGUUCGGAGUGUCUGGCAUUUGGUUCUGUCAUGCCCAGCGGGUGAAUCCGGCAUGUCCAGCAGGUGGCUCCAGACUGUGCAGCAGGUGGUUGUGUCAUGUCCUGGACCUGAUUCUGGUGUGUCUGGCAGGUGGUUCUGGCAUGUCCAGCGGGUGGUUCCAGUGUAUCAAGCGGGUGGAUCAGGUGUGUCCAGUGGGUAGUUCAAGAUUGUCUGGCAUGUGGUUCUGGCAUGUCAGGCAGGUGGCUCAGGUUUGUCAUGCAGGUGGUUCUGGCGUGUCCGGUGGGUGGAUCAGGCAUGUCCGGCGGGUGGUUCUGGCAUUUCCAGAGGGUGCUUCAGGCAUGUCCGGCAGGUGGCUCAAGAUUAUCUGCCAUGUGGUUCUGGUGUGUCAGACAGGUGGUUCAGUCACGUCAUGCAGGUGGUUCACGUGUGUCUGGCGGAUGUUUCAGGCAUGUCUGGAGGGUGGUUCAGGCGUGUCUGAAAGGUAGUUUAGGAUUGUCUGGCAGGUGGUUCUGGCAUGUCAGGCAAGUGGUUCUGGCAUGUCCGGCAGGUGGUUCCUGCAUGUCUGGUGGGUGUUUCAAGCGUCUCCGGUGGUUCUGACGUGUCCAGUAGGUGGCUCAGGCAUGUCCAGCGGGUGAUUCAGGAGUGUCCGGCGGGUGUUUCAGGCAUGUCUGUUGGGUGUUUCAGGUGUGUCUGGUGGUUGGUUCACGUGUGGCUGGCACAUGGUUCAAGCAAGGCUGACGUGUGUUUCAGGCCUGUCUGACACAUGACUCUGGCAUGGCAGACACGUGAUUCAUGUGUGGCUCACACAUGGUUAAGGCUUGGCUUGCUCGUGGUUCAGGCAUGGGUGAGAUGUGGUUCAGGCAUGCCUGACACGUUGUUCAGGCAUGGCUCUGGUUGUUCUGGCAUGGCUGGCAUGUGGUUGAUGCCUGGAUGACACGUGGUUCAGGCAUGGUUUACAUGUGGUUCAGGCGUGGCUGACACACGAUACUGGCGUGAUGGGCAUGUGGGUCAUGCGUGGGUGACACAUCGUUCACUCAGGGCUCGCCAUGAUUCAGACAUGGGAUGUAGGUUUUUAAGGUGUGGCUCACAUGUUGUCCAGGUGUGUCUGACAGGUGUUUCAGGCAUGGCUGAAACGUGAUUCAGGAGUGACUUGUGUUUUUCAGAUAUGGCUGACACAUGGUUCAGUCAUAGCUCAGGAGUGGCUCAUGCAUGGCUCAGGUGUUGCUCAUGCGUGUUUCAGGCAUAGCUCAUGUGUGAUUCAUGUGUGGCUGUCACAUGGUUCAGGAGUGGCUGUCACGUGAUUGAGGCAUGGCUGGCACCUGGUGGAGGCAUAGCUUGAACAUGGUUCAGGUGUGGCUCACACAUGGCUCAGGCAUGGCUCACAGGUGGUUGAGGCCUUGCUGGCAUGUGGUUGAGGCUUGGCUCACUCCUGGUUCAGGCGUUGCAUGAACAUGGUUCAGGCAUAGCUGGGAUGUGGUUCAGACCUGGCUGACAUGUGACUGAGGCGUGGAUGACACGUAGUUCUGGUGUGGGUGAGAUGUGGUUGAGGCAUGACAGACACGUGAUUCAUGUGUGACUCACAUGUGGUUCAGGCUUGGCUCAUACUUGGUUCAGGCGUGGCUGGCACAUGGUUCCAGCAUGGGUGAGACGUGUUUCAGGCCUGGCUGACACGUUGUUCAGGUGUGUCUCACAUUGUUCAGGCAUGGCAGACAUGUGAUUCAUGCAUGGUUUGCACGUGGUUCAGGUUUGGCUCGCUUGUGGUUUGUGCGUGGCUGGCAUGUGGUUCAGGCAUGACUGGUACAUGAUUCAGGCAUGAUUGGCAGAUGAUUCAGGCAUGGGUGACACUUCAUUCUCAUGUCAGUGACAUGUGGUUCAGUCAUGGCUUGCAUGUGGUUCAGGUGUUGCUCAUACCUGGUUCAGGUGUGGCUGACACAUGACUAAGGUGUGGCUGAUGCAUGGUUCAGGAGUGGUUUGUGUGUUUCAGGCGUGGCUGACACACGGUUCAGGCGUAGCUCAGGAGUGGCUCAGGUGUGGCUCAUGAAUGGUUCAGGCAUGGCUCACGUGUGGUUCAGGCAUGGCUGAAACAUGAUUCAGGCCUGGCUCGCUUUUGAUUCAGGCAUGACUCGCACAUGUUUAAGGCAUGGAUUGCACAUGAUACAGGCCUGGCUGACACGUGGUUCUGGCAUGGCUGACACGUGAUUCAGGUGUGGGUGAGUGUCAAACUCAAAGUCAGAGACACCACUGAGUGUGUUACACACAGUAUCAUAAAUGCCAAGGCAAGCGUGAACAUGGUGUCAGGGAAACGAGGUGGAGGGGGACACUCAAAGUCUGAGAUGGCACAGGGAUUGUUAUACACGAAGUCAAGAUGUCAGGUGGAGUGUGACACAUGAAGUCACAGAUGCCAGGGUGAGUUUGACACAAGAAGUAAGGGACGGAACAGGGAUUGUGACAGACGAAGUCAGAGAUGCUGGGGGAGUGUUAUGGACAAAGUCAGAGAUGCCGCUGGGGUAUGUUACACAUGAAGACAGAGAUCGCAGGGAGAGUGUUACACAUGAAAUCAAAGACACCACAUGGAGUGUUACACACGAAAUCAGAGACACCACAUGGAGUGUUACACACGAAGUCAGAGACACCAAGGGUAGUGUUACACAUGAGGUCAGAGACAACAGGGGGUGGGUGACACAUGAAAUCAGAGACACCAGUGGUACUGUGACACACCAAAUCAAAGAUGCCAGGGGGAGUGUUAAACAUGAAGUCUGUGAUGCCUGGGGGAGUCAUGUGCCCAGAGUCAGAGACACCAUGGAAGAUUGUUACCCAUGAAGUCAGAGAUGACAGGUCAAGUGUGAAACACAAAGUCACAGAUGGCAGGGGGAAUGUUGCACAUGAAGCCAAGCACCCAGCUGUAGUGUUACACAUGAAGUCAAAGACGUAGUGUUAAGUGUUACCCACGAAAUCAGAGAUGCCACAGAGGAGUGUUCCACAUGAAGUAAGAGACACAAGGGGGUGUGUCAUGCACAAAGUCAGAGACACCAGUGAGAGGGUUACAAAAGAAGAAAGUGAUGCUGCAGUGUGUACUACACAAUAUAUCAGAGACAGCAUGGGAACAGUGACAAAGUAUGUCAGAGAUGACAGGGACAGUGUUAAACAAGAAGUCAGAGGUGAUAGAGUGACUGUGACACACGAAGUGUGAGAUGACAGGGGGAGUGUUACACAUGAGUUCUAGACAUCCCUGGAGGUGGGUUGCACAGGAAGCCUGAGAUGACAGAUGAAGUAUGAAACACGAAGAAAUGACACCACAGGGAGGGUUACACACGAAUUCAGAAAUGAAAUAUGGAGCACCACAGAAGAAGUCACAGAUGCCACAAGGAGAGUUGCACACAAAGACACAAUAACCAUGGGGACAGUGACACAGAAGUCAGAGAUGACAGGCAGAGUGUUACACACAACAUCACAGACGACUGGGGAGAGUCACACAUGAAUUCAAAGACCACCAAGUGCAGUGUCACUCAUAAAUUCUGAGAUGCCAUGGAGGUGUGUUACACGCGAUGUCAGAGAUGUCACAUGCAGUGUUACCCACGAAGUCAUAGCUGAUGGGGCGUGUUACACACGAAAUCAAAGACACCAAGAGGAUUGUUACACACAGCAUCAGAGAUGACAGGGGGACUUUGACACAGGAUGUCAGAAACUCCAGGAGAAGAGUUACACAUGAAAUUGGAAAUGAAAUAGGGAGUGUUCCAUACAACUUCAGAGAAGCCACCACGAGUGUGACACAUGAGAUCAGAGAUGCCAUGUUGAAGUAUUACACACAAACUCAGAGGUGACAGGAGGAGUGUUGUGCAUGAAGACGGAGACACCUGGUUUGGUGUUCUAAAAGAAGUCAGAGGCCCCAGGGGGAGUGUUAGACACAAAGUCAGCAAUGCAAGUGGAAGUGUGACACAUGAAGUCACAGAUGCCAAGUGGAGUGUUACACACGAAGCUAGAGACACCAAGAGGAUUGUUCCAAAUGAAGUCAGAGAUGCCAGGGAGAGUCUUAGAUAAGAAGGCAGAGAUGCCACGGGGAGUGUUCCACAACAAUUCAGAGAUGCGACAGGGAAGCAUUACACAGGAAGUCAAAGACAAUAGUUGGAGCGUUACACACGAAAUCAGACACACAAGUGUGAGUGUUACACACGAAGUCAGAGACUCCACAUGAAGUGUUAUACACAAAGUCAACGUCGCCAGUAGGAGUGUGACACAGAAAGUCACAAAUGCCACAAAUGCAUGUGAGCAUGAAUUCACAGACACUAGGGGGAGUGUUACACACGAAGUCAGAGACUCCACAGGAAGUGUUAUACACAAAGUCAACGUUGCCAGUAGGAGUGUGACACAGAAAGUCACAAAUGCCACAAAUGCAUGUGAGCAUGAAUUCACAGACACUAGGGGGAGUGUUAGGCACAACAUCAGAGAUGUCAGGUUAUGUGUUAUACAUCAAAGUUAAGAUGGCAGGGGCUAUGUGAUGCACGAACUGGGAGACACAAUGGUGCAUGUCACACCCAAAGUCAGAGACAAAACUGAGUGUGUUAAAGAUGAUGUCAGAAACACCAGGGCGAAUGUGAUCCAUGGUGUCAGGGACACCAGGUGGAGGGUGAUACUCAAAGUCUGAGACAGCACAGCGAUUGUUAUACAUGAAGUCAAGAAGCCAGGUGGAGUGUGACAAGUGAAGUCACAGAUGCUCGCAUGUGGAUCAGGCAUGCUGACACGUGGUUCAGGCAUGGCUGACUGGUGACCCAGGCGUGGCUGACACAUGGUUCAGGCAUGGCUGACACGUGACUCAGGCAUGGCUGAUGCAUGGUUCCAGAGUGGCUUGUGUGUUUCAGGCAUGGCUGACAUGAGGUACAUGCAUAGCUGAGAAAUGGCUCAUGCGUGGCUCAGGCAUGGCUCAGGCGUUGCUCAUGCAUGGUUCAGGUGUGGCUCACACGAGGUUCAGGUGUGGCUGGCAUGUGGUUCAGGAGUGGCUAACAUGUGACUCAGGCAUGACUGACACGUGGUUCAGGCGUGGCUGACACAUGUCUCAGCCAUGGCUUACAAGUGGCUGACACGGGGUUCAGGUGUUGCUCAUGUGGUCCAGGCAUGGUUGACACGUGUUUCAGGCCUGGCUUUCACGUGUUUCAGACAUAACUCAGGUGUGGCUCAGGUGUGUCUCAAGCCUGGCUGACAAAUGACUCAGGCAUGGCUGGGAUGUGACUCAGGUGUGGCUUGCACAUGCUUCAGGUGUGCCUCACAUGUGGUUCAGGCGUGGCUCACACAUGGUUCAGGCAUGAGUGACACGUGGUUCAGGCUUGGGUCACACAUGGUUCAGGUGAGGCUCAGGCAUGCCUCAGUUGUGAGUCAUGAGUGGCUCAAGUGUUGCUGAUGCAUGGCUGAAGUGUGAUUCAGAUGUGGGUGAGAUGUGGUUCAGGCGUGGCUGACAUGUUGUUCAGGCAUGGCUUGCAUUGUUCUGGUGUGGCUGGCACUUGGUUAAGGUGUGGUUGAGACAUGGUUCAGGCAUUGCUGACACGUGGUUAAGGCAUUGCUGGCACGUGUUUCAAGCGUGGGUGAGACAUGAUUCAGGCAUGGCUGACAUGUGGUUCAGACGUGGCUGACACUUGACUCAGGCAUGGCUGUCACCUGGUUAACACAUGGCAGGC
ensembl:lncRNA